GAUGAACGCUGGCGGCGUGCUUAACACAUGCAAGUCGAACGGAAAGGCCCAAGCUUGCUUGGGUACUCGAGUGGCGAACGGGUGAGUAACACGUGGGUGAUCUGCCCUGCACUUCGGGAUAAGCCUGGGAAACUGGGUCUAAUACCGGAUAGGACCACUUCGUGGUUGUUGUGGUUGAAAGUUUUUUCGGUGUGGGAUGAGCUCGCGGCGUAUCAGGUUGUUGGGGUGGUAAUGGCCUACCAAGGCGUCGACGGGUAGCCGGGCUGGGAGGGCGUACGGCAAUAUUGGGACUGAGAGGCGGCGCAGACUACUACGGGAAGCAGUAGGGGAGAAUGUUGCAUAAGGGGCAGAAGGAUGAAGCAGCGACGCGGCGUGGAUGAUGACGGCCUUCGGGUUGUAAGCUCCCGCCUGUAAAGACGAAUGUGGGACGGUAUUUGGUGAAGAAGCACCGGCUAACUACGUG
rnacentral:rRNA from 1 species